CAAACAAAACUGAAGUCAGAGAGAUGAUGAAAGGCGUGCAAGAACGGGAGAAAGGAAGAAAGGAAAGAAAGGAGGAUGGCUGAGACGGGGGGAAGGAGGGAGCAAGGAAGGAGAAAGGGAAAAUAAUUCCAAACAGGUUUCAAGAUUGAGCUGACCCUGCCAUCUAAAUAUAGCAUGGCAACAUGGACAUAUUGAAGAUAAAUGAUUUACUGACUGGCUUAGAGGAAAUCAGAUAAAUUAUCUUCUACUGACUCCUGACUAGCCAACCUCAGAAACAACUCUCUUUUGAGAAAGGUUUUGUGAUAAGAGAUACAUUAGCUAUUUUUUGUUUCACCUGGUUACAGAGUUCUCAAGCUGCCUUAAAUAUCAUAGAAGAAUUUCACGUUGAAGUUGCUGAUUUUAUUCAGCCUCUUUGAACAUGUCAACAUGGAUAUUGUCCUUGAACACACAGCUCCACAUGCCCAUGGGCUGAAGAAGAUGCUGAGAAAUGGAUUCUAUAUCUAAAUCUCAUUGCUGAGUAAACAAGAUGUCUUUAGUUGGCUGAAGAAAUUAACCUGACCAAUGGCAUAGGAAAUCCUGCAGUUUGAGCCAUGAAACUUCUAGCUGCCUUCUUGUGCCUCUCUCCCACUCUCCUGGAGUUCUCCCAGAACAAUAUGCUGAGAACAUUGAUAAGGUUGGAAUUGCCCAAAGGCCUUGCACCAGGAGCAAAUACUUUGCUCCUAAAGCAGACAUUCAGAUCUGGAAAAUCUGAAAGAGAACAUGGGCAUGAUUCCCUUCAUUUUAAAAAUCAUCUUGAAUCCUGAGGCACAUUUGAAAUGCAAGAUAUGUGAGGUGAAUGGCAGAAAAGAAAAAUACCAGAAGACUGAAUUUCCAAUAAAUCAAAGCAACCGAAUUUCAAUUUACAAUAGUGGAACUCAGGACAUAUUUUUUCCACCAAAACAUCCAACCAAGUAUGAGUGAGUGGCCUGGCCUUAACACAUUGUUUGUUUGAACAACAAUUUGAAGGAAAGUCGAUAUGUUGAUAAUAUAAUAUAGAGUAACUUCAGAAGGCCUUAUAAAGAAUGUGCAGUAGGAAGAAGAAAAUCUGGAACCCUGAGUUAGCCUGGUGGGAAAGUCAGCCUCAGCUGAAGCCUCAACAGGCAGCUUGGAUGCUUCUUGACAUCUACAUUAAGGCCAUUUCACAGUGGAAAAGAUGGCAGUUUUGAAAGGGACAAAGAAGAAGUCUUGUGAAAUAAAUAACUCUGCAAUG
rnacentral:lncRNA from 1 species